ACAAGGUUUCCGUAGGUGAACUUGCGGAAGGAUCAUUA
rnacentral:rRNA from 1 species